rnacentral:rRNA from 1 species
GACGAACGCUGGCGGCGUGCUUAACACAUGCAAGUCGAACGAUGAUGCCAGCUUGCUGGUGGAUUAGUGGCGAACGGGUGAGUAACACGUGAGCAACCUGCCCCUGACUUCGGGAUAACCGCGGGAAACCGUGGCUAAUACCGGAUAUGACGCGCUAUCGCAUGGUGGUGUGUGGAAAGAUUUAUCGGUUGGGGAUGGGCUCGCGGCCUAUCAGCUUGUUGGUGGGGUGAUGGCCUACCAAGGCGACGACGGGUAGCCGGCCUGAGAGGGUGACCGGCCACACUGGGACUGAGACACGGCCCAGACUCCUACGGGAGGCAGCAGUGGGGGAUAUUGCACAAUGGGCGCAAGCCUGAUGCAGCGACGCCGCGUGAGGGAUGACGGCCUUCGGGUUGUAAACCUCUUUCAGUAGGGAAGAAGGCCUUCGGGUUGACGGUACCUGCAGAAGAAGCGCCGGCUAACUACGUG